rnacentral:rRNA from 1 species
ACGCACGCUGGCGGCGUGCUUCACCCCUGCAAGUCGCACGGAAAGGCCCUGCUUUUGUGGGGUGCUCGAGUGGCGAACGGGUGAGUAACACGUGAGUAACCUGCCCUUGACUUUGGGAUAACUUCAGGAAACUGGGGCUAAUACCGGAUAGGAGCUCCUGCUGCAUGGUGGGGGUUGGAAAGUUUCGGCGGUUGGGGAUGGACUCGCGGCUUAUCAGCUUGUUGGUGGGGUAGUGGCUUACCAAGGCUUUGACGGGUAGCCGGCCUGAGAGGGUGACCGGCCACAUUGGGACUGAGAUACGGCCCAGACUCCUACGGGAGGCAGCAGUGGGGAAUAUUGCACAAUGGGCGGAAGCCCGAUGCAGCAACGCCGCGUGCGGGAUGACGGCCUUCGGGUUGUAAACCGCUUUCGCCUGUGACGAAGCGUGAGUGACGGUAAUGGGUAAAGAAGCACCGGCUAACUACGUG